AGCAUCGGCCGGGAAUCGAACCCGAACCGCCCGCGUGGCAGGCGAGCAUUUUACCACUAAACCACCGAUGC
rnacentral:tRNA from 1 species